rnacentral:lncRNA from 1 species
CGGAGCUGCGGCAGGUGGAGUGGUGGGGCCUCCCUGGGGCUGCGCGGGGGACAGAUGGGUAGGGAGGACAGACACAAAUACUACAGAAAUGAAAAUCCCUGUAGAUCUGGAAAAGGUCUGGCCCUGGACUUGAAGCUUGGGCUGAGAACCUCUACACUGUGUACCUUCAGCACACUCUAAAUCUAAGGGAGGUGCUCGAGUCACUCCAGACUUACUGGCCAAUCAGAGCCUUUAGGCGGACCUGCCAGUCAGAAGAGAAGGCGGGUUUUCCGGGUGCUGUGGUGCUGGUUUCGCUUAGUAGCUGAGCAGGUUUGAAUGGUACUUGUGUGCUGUGCUCUCUGUCAUGCCGCUGGAUGCUGUGGAGGGUGCUCAGGCAAGCCCCGAAGUUGUGACAUGGUGAGCACAUGAUCACUGCCAACAAUGGGGAGAACCAUGGGUCUGAGGAGCGCGAGCUGGUGUGGUGGGUCUUUCCCGGGACUGAGUGGGAAUCGGCGGCCACGUGUGAGGUCCUAGCCACUCGCUGAACCCAGUUGUAGCCUCAGAAUAACUUCACUGUGGGGGCUACAUCUGUGCAGAGCAUUUGGCUUGUGUGUAGAAAGAUCCUUGGCAUGAUCCCAAACUCAGAGAGUCCUAGUUUCUACAAUCCAUUUGGAGUUAAUUUUGUGGUGGUUAUAAAAGGCAUCUCAUGUGCUGGGUAGCAAUCCAAUAUCAAGCUGUGAUGUGAAAGAGUAGAAUUGAUGAUGUAAAGGAUUUAAUAAAGCUUAGGAGAUAGUAAGGCACAGCAAGUAGAAUUUAGGUGAGGGCUGACUGCCUGUAAAACACCCCACAGAUAAGUAAUGUGCUAGCCAGGGCAAUUAGAGAUUAGGAAGCUAGGAUACACAUGUUUGUUCACCAGGAUUGUCCAGAAAUAUGGUGCCAAACCAUAACAAAGGAAACAAACUUGAUUUACAACCAGCCACUAGGUCCAUCUCCAUAUCAAAGAGCAGGCCUUUAACAAGCUGCUCUAUGGAGCAUUACAGGAUUACAAUCAACAGUAAGGCCUAGUGUGCUAUAAAGGUUCAAUUUUCUUCUUGAGAAAAGCAUAGUUCUGCCACAUGGGUGAGAUGAUACCUAGUGACAACCAUUUGAGAAGGUAAAAAACAAAACAAAACACUGUUGUAUUGAGUGCUGGUCUGAUCGAGUUACACUUUCCCUGAAGUCCCUGUUUAUGGAGAAUGACAUAGCUCCUUCCGAAACCCAGGAGCAUGCUUGGCAGAGCCAGUCACAGCCUGGGGCCUAGUCCUUGGGAGCUUUCCCUGAGGCCCUGGGUAUAGAGAUAAAACUGCUCCUUUUGUAAAACCGGGAAUAUGCUUGGGAGAGCUGGUGAUGGUCUGGGGCCAGGGGCUUUGGGAGGGGUUGCAUCAGGUUCUGAGAACACAACUCUUUCCACUGUAUGGGGCUGUGGUUAUCAGUUCCAAGGCCACUAGAGGCUUGGUCUGAAAUGUUUUUAAGAUAUACCGAGUUCUUUUGCAGCAUUGUUUGAUUAGACUUCUCCUGACUGUGUCCCAUUGCAUGAUGCUGCUGCUAACUUCAUAGUUUCUUCGUCUUUCUGCUGACUUCAUAGAUGUCUCCCAUCUCCUUCCUUUUCCCUCUUGACAACCGUGUACAAGAUGGUAUUCUUAAGAAGCUUACUUAGCAUAAGAAAUAGCUUGUUUAAGACCUCCUCACCCCAGCUUUUAUACUUUGUACCUUUUCCUUUUCUGAUGUUUUCAUCAUCUGGGACCUUCCACUUAGGACACUGUCACUAACCUGCUGUGUUAGGGCACUGGUGUACUUGGGAUUUGAUCCUCGAAUAUGUUUGCUGUGUAAAUUCCCAUCUGUCUAAGUGGCUAAACUUGCAGUCUCCAGUCUACAUUUAAACUGUUCAAAACUUAACCUGGAACCUGAACCUGAACCUAAAAGAGAUUUAAGGGUGGCAGCAUACGUGGAAUGCAAAAUUCAUCAUAGUCUGGCGCCUCUUUUAGCAUUAACCAUGUAGCUAGUCUUUGAUACUUUAUGGUUUCUUCUUUUAACACACACUUAAUCCCCCUCCCCCGCAACUCCAACCCCCUUACCCCUCAUUUCACCCCCUAACACCGGAUAGGAGAGAAACAAGGAUGGAGGAGAAAGAGAUUCUUGAAUCUAGUUUCUUUAUUUGUACUGGAUCCCCCACCCCCACCCCCCAACAUGAGUCAGUUUCUGAUGGGCGAACAAGGAUUAAAGAUAGAAAAGGCAGAAAGAAGAUGUAAAGCCAAGAGUAAGAUUGGGGAGGACUGAUGGUUAGUAUUGCUGCAGCAGAGCAGCCAGCAGCAACCAGCAGCCUUGAGUUUAUUUCUUAUAGUCUUUUUAUACCCCACAGUACUGUAGAAAGCAAAGCCACAAGCUAACAGAAACAAGUUUCCUGAAACAUACACAGAAUAUCUGUUAUCCCAAGGCACCUCUCUUGAGCCUCAGGUGUACCUCCUCUUGUCGUUCCAUGCCUCCUCAGGCUGGGAAAUCUGCCAACAGACCCACCUUGACUGCCUAGUUCUAAGACAUAAACAAAGUAGUCAGGAAGAAAAAAGGUGUAAACUAAGUUCCCUUGUUUACUGUACUCAGGGUCUUAUCAAGAUGAUCAAGAUAUUUUAAGAUAUGAGGAACACAUUCCUCAGCUUUUUUUUGGGGGGGGGGGGGUGUUUGGGUUUUUUUUUUUUUUUUUUUUUUUUGAGCUUACUUCCUUGUCCUUGCCCAUUGUCAAACAUUCUUGCCAUUUUCCUAGAAGCGAUACAAGAACUCUCCAUACCUGGGAGAGUAGAAGAUUCUAAUAAAAUACAAAUUUACCAUACUAGGGCUCUGUCUGCCCUUAGGGUCGUAUGGAAGGGCAGAACUGGGAAGACUUGUUCUGUCUGAGUCAUUUAAUCUCUAAUCCUCCAGAAGGAGAGCUCCUAAUGUCCUCUGGUCAGCUAGCAGUCAGGAGGAGCACCAGUAGGAGGUAGCUUGCAGGUUUUUUUUUUUUUUCCAUAUUCUCCUCUGAUGCAGUUCAUCAGAGAGAUGUGAGGGAGACCUCGCAUCAUGAUUGUGGCAGCCACUAGGAAGAACAGGUUAGCUAAGCAAUCAGAGUCCAAUCUGAUUGGACUGGGAUGGACUGUGAACCAGACUGUGGUACUUUUGGUACAUGUGGUGACCUGAGCAAAGGGCCUUGGCCUCUGAGCCUGCCUGAGAGUGUGGAUUCCCUGGGGAAAAGGAGGCUCUGCAGCUCUGGCCAUAGUAAGCUGUGUUGCUUAUAAUACCACUGUUCAGUGUGCACACACAAGCAUUGCUUUUGGUGUGCAGAAAACAGAUUUCAAAACUGAAAAUCUGGUUUCUAGAAGUUCUGAACAUUGCACUGCAAAUUCAGUUUUGUGUGAUAAAUUUUACAAAUCAUUUUGAAACUGGUAGAGAUGAGGUUCUGGGGAUCAUCCUUCAUCAGUAUUUGAUUAAAAUCCUUUUACCUUUCCACUACCACCAGUCACAAUGAGUGGAUUGAUUCAGGGAAGUUCAGUUCCAGGGUCCAAAAGGAGUUUCUGAGAUGUAGAGGUUUCUUAAGUGUGCAUGGUGGUGUGCAGGUGGGUAGGGCAGAUUCUACAUCGUGUGUUAUAAUCCACAAGGCAGGAAGCAGACAUUAAAUUAUUCUUCAACCUUGGUUUUUAUGUGGGCUCAGUGGGGCUGGGUUUGUGUGAGAUCGCAAGGGGGCAUUAGGUGCUGCAGAGCCAUAACCCACCUUUCUGAUCACCUCCAUACAGAGAGAGCUCUAGAGCCUCUGUUUGAAAGUGAGGUCAGUAGUGGCUGGAAGGGUCAGAAAUCUAACAGUUAGGAGUCAUUUUGAGUUAUUUUUGUGGCAGUUGUGAAGUCUGUGUUUAUUCCAUUUGUAUACACAUGCAACCAGGUAAUACUGGUCAUGUUCACAUUUUUCCUGGCUUGAGUUUCCUUAAGUCUUUUGAUUGAAACUUGACUAUAAUUUGGUAUUUAUAUUCUUGGCUUUUUUCUCUACAUCUCAUUAUUUUUUCACAAAUGUUGUAAAGCUUUUGAUUGUUGUAGCUCUGUGAUAAGUACGGAUGGAAUUUACAUUGUGCCAAAAUGCGUACCAUUUCUUUAUAAUCCUAAUGACAAUUCUGAGGAUUUUUUUCACAUGGCAGAUAGCUUUGGAAUCAGCUUUCCUGUUAGGAGUUUCUUUAGAUUGUUUUGAAUUUAUGCUGCAAAUUAAACAUAUCCAACAACCUCUUUAAGAAAAAAAAUCACUAUAAUGGUGUUGUUUAUUGUUGUAAGUGUGUGAAACUGAAACUGGUAUAAAAUAGUGUACAAAGCCAUAGAAAGAGGACUUUAGCAUAGACUUUAGUGACACAGAAUAUAUUGUUAGGGUCACAUAAAUGGUAUCUCACUUAGCAUAACUUAAUUGAGAAAACAAAAAGAGUGAAAAUAAAACAUUGUCCAGUACUGAACAAUGAAUAUGUGUGUGACACAGGAUUGUGUAUUAGCAAUAAACUCUGAUAGCAGUAGGUUGGGAUUUUCCAUAGAUAUCAACUAAAACUAGUUAAGACCAUGUUGUGUUAUAGUUGAUAUAAAAUAGCACAUAUUUAAUCUAUGUAUUCUGAUACAUUUGGACAUAAUACCUACACCCAAGCAACCUCAUGCUACCAAAUUCUUACAAAAAUUACAGAAUUGCCAUGGAUCCCAGCAAUAGUCUCAGUAUAGUUUCCAUGCACUUGAAAUUAGUUUUAAAAAGUAUCAGAAUUCUCAUGUUCAUUGCAGUUGUAUUCAAGGUAGCCUAAAUAUGAGAAUUACCUCAGUGCUCAUUUGUUGAGAACAAGUUGGGUCCCUCAAGAUGACAUUGUGCUAAUGAAGACAUUUGCAAUGGUUAAAGGAUUAAAUACUUGUAAAGACUCUCACAGUCAGUGCUGCAUUGGUCAUGAAACAACAUGUAAUUACAGCUUAAACACUGUCGACCCAUUUCUUUUUCCAUAUACUUUUAAUCUUUACUGCACUCCUAUUGCCAGAUGGAUAUGAGAACUUGAACCAUCUUGUCUACCUCACAGGUAGCAAGGGGGACCAAGACAGCUCAGUCAGUCAAUAGGAUCUCAAGGGAAGGAGCAAGGAUUGAAAAGAAGACAAUUAGACAACACUAUGACAUGACUCCGGCCAGUGCUGAGGCUGAAGCAGGUUUAUUUUUCUCAAGCCUGCUUUUAUAUUUUUUGCAUUUAAGUACAUGCAAACAAUAAGGCCAGUUCUAGGUGAAGGAACAAAACAAAGUCUGGUGAUCACUGUUUUUAGGGGCUUAUCCGGAUGCUCCAAGGUAAAAGGAAUGCCACAAAUUCCUUGGUUGAGUUUACCUCCUUUGUACUAGCUCAAAUGUAAAUACUCUUUUCUGAGCUUACUUCCUAGUCCUAGCCCAAAAUCAAAUUCCUGCUGGAGCCUACUUCCACUUCCUAGCUUAAUGUCAGAUUCCUGCCAAAUUCCUACAGAAGGGCAAAAAGCACAGAAUCUAGCUGAAGCAAUCUCCUUCAAAGGGUUUUUCUAGUGUUUAUUUAGAACAUUAUGUGGAGAAGAGAAAUGAAAUAUCAAGUAGCAAGAGUUGUUAUAGAUGGGAAGCAAAUGUGUUAUUAUAGUAUACUGUAAAAAUGCAGAAAGUGGCCUUAUUUGGAUGGCAUGAGAGCUUUCUGCCAAUGAGUCAUACUGCAUGAAAAAGUAGAAAAUGAGUUUAAGAAACAGACUGUUUUGUUUGA